rnacentral:rRNA from 1 species
UACAGAGGUGCCAAGCGUUGUUCGGAUUUAUUGGGCGUAAAGGGUGCGUAGGCGGUUGUGCAAGUCGGAUGUGAAAUCCCGGAGCCUAACUCCGGAACGGCAUUCGAAACUGCACGGCUCGAGGUCUGGAGAGGUGACUGGAAUUCUCGGUGUAGCAGUGAAAUGCGUAGAUAUCGAGAGGAACACCAGAGGCGAAAGCGAGUCACUGGACAGAACCUGACGCUGAGGCACGAAAGCCAGGGGAGCAAACGGG